GGGGGGGGGGGGGGGGGGGGGGGGGGGGCAAUUUCCCACUGCUCUGACAGGGGCUGUGAAUUUGUCUUAGCAAGAGACAAGAGGCAGCAUUGGGGUGUCUUUGGGUGCUCCCGGGGUACGAGUGAGGCCCUUUGUGCCCAGGGGCUGUGCAGGCUCCCUGCCCGCGGUGAGGGGAGCAGUGCAGAGGUGCAGUUGACAGCCUCGCAGGAUCCCCAGGAGACACUGUCCCCUGGAGGGACCUGGCCCUGUCCACGGAGCAGCUGUGGGUAGCUAAAGGAAGGGCUGAGAUGCAGCGGGGCCUGUAGCUGAAUAGACGUGAGGUUCUGCAGGACAGGUUCUUUCCUGUCCCUCAUGCUGCUGUCUGCCCACAGGGCACAAGGGCAGCGCCAGCACCUGCUCUGGCUGCCUCUGUACCUGAGGAAGAGGCUGAAGAGGAGGAAGGUGCCAAUGAACCUGCCCUUGCUGUCAGCCCACGGCCUGAGCAGCCAGCACCAAGCUCCAUCGCCGCUGUCGUGGCACCUGCACGAGCUGCAGCUGCAGGCUCUGAAGAAGCCUCCGGUCCCCAGGCUGGGGGCUCAAGCACCAGCAGCUCGUGCACCUGGAGCACAAGCAGUUCCUCUGGCAGCAGAGAGCAGCUGCGAGAGAGGACAGAGGACGAGUGGCUGGCCAUGCUGAGUAUGUCCUUUGUGAUGGCUGUCUGCUGGAGCAGGGCCUUGUGUGUGCGCGUGUCAGCACGAGCUGUCCCACCUCGUGCUGCUGCUCAGCUGAGUGUCGGUGCUGUGGCCUCCCCACAGGAGCUGUUGUUGUGCUUGGAGGUGCUGAAGGAGCAGCGGGCUGUUGCUGCUGCCUCAGAGGGUUGCCUGGCGUGCUUUGGCUUUGCCUGAGCUUGCCUGGGUGCAAAAGGCAAGGCAGAGCUUGUUUCUGGCUGAGCAGGAGGCUGUGACCUUGUGAAUGCGUGGGCCUGAGGGAGCUGCUGUGGGGCCCAGCUCCUGUGGGCCACGGCCAAGGCCAUCUUCAGAGCUGAGCCUGGCCUAAAGGCUGGGGCCUCAUUGCUAAGGCCCAUUGCAGGAGCUUCUAACAUCAGCUGCUGCUCUGGAAAGCCAGAAAGGCCUUGCUUAGGCAAAGUCCUGCUGGAAGCUGGAGAUCGCGCCUCUGCUGGAAGCGCUUUGCGCUAUUCUUUCGGUUCUGGAAAGGGCAGCUGUGGUUAAAAUUGGUUCCAGAACCCAAGGUGCCUUUGCUGCUCGCAAGGAUUAAAGCUUUCCUUGAAUGCCGCGGAGUGUUCGUUGCCAAGAACAGAAACGUUUUGUUUUUUAGACAGCAAUCACUUCUUUUUGGUUAAGGUUUCCUGAUCCCUGUAUCCCCUGACUGUUUCCCCAUGUGCUGAGAUUUCGGUUCAGACUUGUAGUUUUGUGCAGGCCGUGCUUGCUGCAGAGCUGCUGGUCUUGCUGCUGUUGUUUUGGUGGUGGUGGUGCCGUCAUGGUGGUGCUGCUUCUCGACUGAGUGAGCUGAAGGGGCCCAGUGGGCCAGAGAGUGGGGCUGCCUUUCUGAUCUGCUGCACGGUGGGACGGCUGUUUUGAAGCGAGCAUCUUUCCUUAUUUUGC
rnacentral:lncRNA from 12 species